AGGAGGAACAACCGCAGUGGCUGGGGCCAGCUCUGGAUCCCUGGAGUCAGCUCGCGCAGUAACUCCAGAGCUCUCUCCAGGGCCUGGAGGCUCCGGGGCGGG
rnacentral:pre_miRNA from 1 species